UCUGAUGAAAACCCCUUGAUUGAACCCUUUUAAUAAAAAUCCUUUGAUAAAAUCCCUUGGUAAAAUCCCUUGAUAGAACCCCUUGAUGAAAAUCCUUUAUACUUCUGAUGAAACCCCUAAUGGAACUCCCGGUAAAAACUCUUUAGUGAAACCCUUGGUGGAACCCCUUGAAAAACCCUGGUGUAACCCUUUGAUAAAACAUUGGUGUAUUUGAUGGAACACAUCUCUUAUGUGUGAUAGGUUAAUAAGCUGGAGAUGUGAG
rnacentral:lncRNA from 1 species